rnacentral:rRNA from 1 species
AGGCCUACGGGAGGCUGCAGUGGGGAAUAUUGGACAAUGGGCGAAAGCCUGAUCCAGCAAUGCCGCGUGAGUGAUGAAGGCCCUAGGGUUGUAAAGCUCUUUUACCCGGGAUGAUAAUGACAGUACCGGGAGAAUAAGCUCCGGCUAACUCCGUGCCAGCAGCCGCGGUAAUACGGAGGGAGCUAGCGUUGUUCGGAAUUACUGGGCGUAAAGCGCACGUAGGCGGCUAUUCAAGUCAGGGGUGAAAUCCCGGGGCUCAACCUCGGAACUGCCCUUGAAACUGGAUGGCUAGAAUCCUGGAGAUGCGAGUGGAAUUCCGAGUGUAGAGGUGAAAUUCGUAGAUAUUCGGAAGAACACCAGUGGCGAAGGCGACUCGCUGGACAGGUAUUGACGCUGAGGUGCGAAAGCGUGGGGAGCAAACAGGAUUAGAUACCCCUGUAGUC